UCGCUACUACCGAUUGAAUGGCUUAGUGAGCCCGAGGGACUGCUGUAGUUAGGGGGGUUUCUCCCUUUCCGCAUCCGGGAACUCGGUCAAACUUGAUCAUUUAGAGGAAGUAA
rnacentral:rRNA from 1 species